rnacentral:rRNA from 1 species
GUGAGGAAUAUUGCACAAUGGGGGGAACCCUGAUGCAGCGACGCCGCGUGGGUGAAGAAGGUUUUCGGAUCGUAAAGCCCUUUUCUGCGUGACGAGGAAGGACGGUAGCGCAGGAAGAAGCGUCGGCUAACUACGUGCCAGCAGCCGCGGUAAAACGUAGGACGCAAGCGUUAUCCGGAGUUACUGGGCGUAAAGGGCGUGCAGGCGGUUUCUUAAGUGAGGCGUGAAAGCCCCCGGCUAAACCGGGGAAAGUCGUCUGAGACUGAGAGACUAGAGGAUGGUAGAGGCGUGUAGAAUUCCGGGUGUAGUGGUGAAAUGCGUAGAGAUCCGGAGGAAUACCAGUGGCGAAGGCGGCACGCUGGGUCACACCUGACGCUGAGACGCGAAAGCAUGGGUAGCGAACGGGAUUAGAAACCCGUGUAGUCC